GUUGUAACCAAUGUAUAAUUAAUUCACAUUUGCUACAACCACAAUAUGAGAUACAUAUGACAUGUUAAUCUUCAGUGAAAAUGAUAAUUGGUUAUUUUUAUUUGAUGGUCAGAAUACUAAAAUGCACAUCACAGUUUCUAAAUACUAUCAUAAAAACCAGAACCCACACUUGCAUAGUGCCUUUCGUGGAUGGGGGUUGUUCCAAAGUGCUAACAAAGUCGUUUUGAAAUAUAGUCAUUACUGUAAUGUAGGGAACAAGGGUAUCAAUUUCUGUGCAAUAAGAGUUCAAGAACAGCAAAGUCAUAACCCAAUAUUCAGAUUACCUAUAUUUAAUGAUAUUUAUUGAUGGAUCAGGACACCACUAUAACACUUGACAUUUUUUCUUGUAAAGUGUAAGAGGUCCAAGUCUACUAGUAGAUAAUUCUAAUGUAGAAUGCUCUUCGUAUCACAAACCACAUUAGACCUAAAAUCAUUACUGCGCAAAUUCCAAUGAAGCUUUAGUUAAGUUUGAAAUAAAAUAUAAACUUUCAAUGUGGGUUCGACUGAUCUCCUACUCUUUCUCUAGGAACAGUCUGGCAUAGUGCGUAGGUAAGAGGUGGAGUCCCCAGACCACAGAGCUGCUCUCAUAUUGGAGAAAGACAAUGGUUUAAUCUCAGGGUCACCAUACCUCAGGCAAGAUAUAUAUUUCCUGAAGACGUGAAGGACUCAAUGUACAUGGAAGUUAUUUCCUUUAAAGGGUAGAUUGCCCUCAGUUAAGAUUUUAAUAUGGAAAGCUACAAGGCAAAGAGUUUAACUGUGGAACCGAUUACUGUUCGGUCUGAUGGAAGAACUGGGAGAAGUUAAUUUGCUAAGU